GGAUUAGAUACCCUGGUAGUCCACACCGUAAACGAUGAGAGCUAGUUGUUGUCAGGCAUGCCUGGCAGUGACGCAGCUAACGCAUUAAGCUCUCCGCCUGGGGAGUACGGCCGCAAGGUUAAAACUCAAAGAAAUUGACGGGGGCCCGCACAAGCGGUGGAGCAUGUGGUUUAAUUCGAAGCAACGCGCAGAACCUUACCUACGUUUGACAUGCCCGGACGAUUCUCAGAGAUGAGUCUCUCCCUUCGGGGCCGGUGCACAGGUGCUGCAUGGCUGUCGUCAGCUCGUGCCG
rnacentral:rRNA from 1 species